GGAGACAGUGAGUCUGGACAGUGUUACACAUCAUAUAUCUGUAUAAUACUGUAUAUCUAUAUGUAACCUGUCCUGUGUCCUCAGCAUCAGGAGACAGUGAGUCUGGACAGUGUUACACAUCAUAUAUCUGUAUAAUACUGUAUGUAACCUGUCCUGUGUCCUCAGCCUCAGGAGACAGUGGUCUGGCAGUGUUACACAUCAUAUAUCGGUAUAAUACUGUAGUAACCUGUCCUGUGUCCUCAGCAUCAGGAGACAGUUGAGUCUGGACAGUGUUACACACAUCUAUCUGUAUAAUACUGUAUGUAACCUGACCUGUGUCCUCAGAUAGGAGACAGUGAGUUCUGACAGUGUUACACAUCAUAUAUCUGUAUAAUACUGUAUGUAACCUGACCUGUGUCCUCAGAUCAGCGAGACAGUGAGUCCGUGACAGUGUGUACAAUCAUAUAUCUGUAUAAUUACUGUGUAACCUGUCCUUGUCCUCAGCAUCAGGGACAGUGGGUCUGGACUGUUUACACAUCAUAUAUCUGUAUAAUACUGUAUAUCUAUGUAACCUGUCCUGUGUCCUCAGCAUCAGGAGACAGUGAGUCUUGACAGUGUUACACAUCAUAUAUCUGUAUAAUAAUGUAUGUAACCUGUCCUGUGUCCUCAGCAUCAGGAGACCAGUGAGUCUGGACAGUGUUUACACAUCAUAUCUGUAUAAUACUGUAUGUAAACCUGUCCUGUGUCCUCAGCAUCAGGGACAGUGAGUCUGGACCGUGUUACACAUCAUAUAUCUGUAUAAUACGUAUAUCUCAUUGUAACCUGUCCUGUGUCCUCAGCAUCAGGAGACAGUGAGUCUGGACCGUGUUACAUCAUCUAUCUGUAUAAUAACUGUAUUCUGUAUGAACCUGUCCUGUGUCCUCGCAUCAGGAGACAGUGAGCCUGGACAGUGUUCAAAUCAAAUCAAAUCAAAUUUUUAUAUAGCCCUUCGUACUCAGCUGAUAUCUCCAAAGUGCUGACAGAAACCAGCCUAAAACCCCA
rnacentral:lncRNA from 1 species